UACGGGGGGGGCAAGCGUUACUCGGAAUUAUUGGGCGUAAAGGGCGCGUAGGCGGUCGUGUGCGUCGGAGGUGAAAUCCCCAGGCUUAACCUGGGAACUGCCUCCGAUACGGCAUGGCUUGAGUCCGGGAGAGGAGAGCAGAAUUCCCAGUGUAGCGGUGAAAUGCGUAGAUAUUGGGAGGAAUACCAGUGGCGAAGGCGGCUCUCUGGACCGGUACUGACGCUGAGGCGCGAAAGCGUGGGUAGCAAACAGG
rnacentral:rRNA from 1 species